ensembl:lncRNA
GUCAGGAAAUUUCCUAAGAUAGAUCAGUCACAUUCUCUUUUUUCCUGUGAGUGGUUCUGCACUAUUUUGGGUGCAUCCCUUUAGCUUGGGGUGGCUGUACAGAGGCCCGGAAUCCCCCUCCCCUAUGGGAUCAGCAUGGUGCCAUCCUGAAAUAUUCCCCCAUGGCAGGAGAUGUGGUAAGGUGAAUCGAACACCUUCUCUUUAUUCCUGUGAUAUUUUCUGAGCCAUUUUGGAAGCAUCCCAUUAGCUGGGAGCUGCUAUACAGUGGCCAGGAAGCCGCCUCCACUCUGGGAGCAGCAUUGUGCCAUCCCAAAAUAUUUCCCCGUGGCAGGAGAUGUGAUAAGGUGGAUGGAACACAUUCUCUUUUUUCCUGUGAGCAGUUCUGAACCAUUUUGGAAGCAUUCCAUUAGCUGCAAAUGGUCGUCCAGUGGCACACAAUCAGCCUCCACUACUGGAGUGAGGUAGUGCGAGGCCACAAUCCUCCCCCAUGGCAUGAGAUGUGGUAUGACAGAUUGAACGCAAUCUCUUCUUCUUGUGAUAGGUUAUAAAAAAUUUUGGAAGCAUCCUGUUAGCUGGGAGAGGCCAUAUGGUGGCCUGGAAUCUACCUUCACUCCUGGUGUUGGGUAGUGCCUGGCCAGAAUCCUCUCCCUUGGCAGGAGAUGUGGUAUGGCAGAUUGAACACAAUCUCUUUUUUCCUGUGAUAUUUUUCUGAGCCAUUUCUGAAGCAUCCCAUUAGCUGGGAGUGGCCAUACAGUGGCCAGGAAGCCACCUCCACACUCUUAGCAGCAUUUUGCCAUACCAAAAUAUUCCCCCGUGGCAGGAGAUGUGUUAUGUUCAUUGGAACGCAUUCUCUUUAUUCCUGUGAGUGGUUCAGAGCCAUUUCAGAAGAAUUCCAUUAGCUUGGAGCAGACAUACAGUGGACUGGAAUUUGUCUCCACUAUGGGAGCAGCGUGGUGCCCUGCUAGAAUCCUCCCCGAGGGCAGGAGAUGUGGUAUUACAGAUUGAACAAAAUCUCAUUUUCCUGUAAUUGGUUCUGAGCCAUUUUGGGAAGCAUCCCAUUACCUGGGAGUGAUUGUACCAUGGCCUGGAAUCUGCCUCCACUAAGGGAGCAGCAUGGUCCCAGGACAGAAUCCUCCCCUGUGACAGGAGAUGUGGUAUGGUAUAUUGAACACAAUCUCUUUUUACUGUGAGUGGUUCUGAGCCAUUUCAGAAGAAAUCCAUUACCUGAGAGCAGCAGUAUGGUUGCCAGGAAGCCACCUCCACUAAGGGAGCAGCAUUGUGCCAUCCCAAAAUAUUCCCAGGUGGCAGUAGAUGUGGUAAGAUGGAUGGAAAACAUUCUCUUUUUUCCUGUGAGUGGUUCUGAGCCAUUUCAGAAGCAUCCCAUUAGCUGUGCUCAUCAGUACCUUGGCCCAGAGUCUGCCUCAAGUAUGGGAGCAGCAUAGUGCCAUGCCCGAAUCUACCCCCAUUGCAGCAAUUUGGUAACAUAGAACGAAUGCAUUCUCUUUUUUCCUGUGAGCUGUUCUGAGCCAUUUUGGAAGCAACCUAUUAGGAGUUGUGGUUCGGUGGCCAGGAAGAUGUCUCCACUUCGGGAGCAGCAUUGUGUCAUCCCAAAAUAAUCCCCCAUGGCAGGAGAUGUUUUAAGGUGGACUGUACACAUUCUCUUUUCUCUUGUGAGUGGUUCUGAGCCAUUUCAGAAGCAUCACAUUUAGAGCAGCCAUAUGUUGUCCCAGAAUCCACCUCCACUACUGAAGCAGGGUAAUGCCAGGCCAGAAUCCUCCACUUUAGCAGGAGAUGUGCUGUUGCAGAUCGAAUGCAAUCUCUUUUUUCCUGUUAUUGGUUCUGAGAAAUUUUGGAAGCAUCCCUUUAGCUGGGAGUGACAACAUUUUGGCCAGGAAGCUGCCUCCUCUAUGGGAGCAGCAUUCUGGGAUCCCAAAAUAUUCCCCGUGGCAGGUGAUGUGGUAAUGUGGAUGGAACACAUUCUCUUUUUUCCUGUGAGCUGUUCUGAGCCAUUUGAGAAGCAUCCUGUUAGCUGUGAUCAUCGGUACUGUGGCCAGGUGUCUGCCUUCAAUUUGGGAGUGGCAUGGUGCCAUGCCAGAAUCCUCCCCCAUUACAGGAAAUGUGGUAAGGCAGAUUGAACGCAUUGUCUUUUUCCUGUGAGCAGUUCUGAGCCAUGUGAGAAGCAACCCAUUAGCUGGGAGUGGCAGAACGGUGGCUGGGAAGAUGCCUCCACUUGGAGAGCAUCAUUGUGCCAUUCCAAAAUACUCCCCUGUAGCAGGAGAUGUGGUAAGAUGGAUGGAACACAUUCUCUUUUUUACUGUGUGUGGUUCUGAACCAUUUUGGAAGCAUCCAAUUAGCUGGGAGUGGCUGUAAGGUGGCCUGAAGUCGGCUCCACUAUGGGCGUGGAGUGAUGCCUUGCCAGAAUCCUCCCCUGUGGCAGGAGACGUGUUAAGGUAGAUCGAACGAAAUCUCUUUUUUACUGUGAGAGGUUCCGAGCCAUUUCAGAAGCAUCCCAUUAAAUGGGAGUGUCCGUAAUGUGGCCCAGAAACAGCCUCCAAUAAGGUAGUGACAUGGUGCCAUCCCAAAAUAUUCCCCCUUGCAGGAGAUGUGGUAAGUUAGAUAGAACACACUCUCUUUUUUACUUUGAGAGGUUCUGAGUCAAUUUAGAAGCAUCCCGUUAGCUCAGAUCGGGCUUAUGUCAAACUGGAAGGCAACUCCAUUACAGGAGCAGUGUAGUGCCAGGACAGAAACCUCCUCUGUGGCAGGAGAUGUGGUAUCACAGAUUGAAAACCAACUCAUUAUUCCUGUGACAGGUCCUGAGCAAUUUUGGAAACAACCCGUUAGCUUGGAGUGGUGGUUCAUUGGCCAGGAUGACGCUUCCACUUUGAGAGCAGAAUUGUGCCAUCUCAAAAUAUUCCCCCAUGGUACGAGAUGUGGUAAGGUGAAUGGAACGCAUUCGGAUUAGGGUAAGUUCAUGGUGAGGGUUAAGGAUAAUGUAGAAUUUCAAGUACCUGGGUAUUGGAAUUUGUUCCUGGUGCUUAGGGUUAGGGAUAGGAUUAGUUUUGGGUUUAGGGUUCCAUUUCAUGUACCUGAUGUUUGGAGUGUGGGUAUGAUUUUGGGGGUUAGGGUUCUUCUUUUAGUAAGUGUCAUGGAUAGGGCUGAAAUUGAGGUACCUGAAAAUGACUUAGGGUUAGGGAAGGGUAAGUGUUAGGCUUAGGGUUAGGGUUAGGGUGAUAGAUAGCAUUGAAAUUGAAAUGCCUGUGUCUUCAAGUGUGGGAUGGAAAGUUAGUAUUAGUGUAAUUCAUGAUGAGGGUUAGGGAUACUGUAGAAUUUCAAGUACCUGUUUAUUGGAAUUUGGUCCUGUUGCUUAGGGUUAGGGUUAGGGAUAGGAUUAGAAGUAGGUUUAGGUUUAGGGUUCCAAUUCAUGUACCUGCCGUUUGGAGGGUGGGUAUGAUUGUUAGGGUUAGGGUUCUUCUUUUCGUAAGGGUCAUGGAUAGUGCGGAAAUAGCGGUACCUGAGGAUGACUUAUUGUUCUGGUAGGGUUAGGGCUAGGGUUAGGGUUCGGGUCAGGGUGAUAGAUAGCAUUGAAAUUGAAAUGCCUGUGUGUUCCAGGGUGGGUUGCAAAGUUAGUAUUAGCGUAAGUUCGUGGGGGAGGGGGGAGGCAUAAUGUCAAAUGUCAAGCCCCUGGGUAUUGUGAUUUGGUCCUGGGCCUUAGGGUUAGGGUUAGGGUUAGAAGUAGGUUUAGGUUUAGGGUUCCAAUUCAUGUACCUGCCGUUUGGAGUGUGGGUAUGAUUGUUAGGGUUAGGGUUCUUCUUUUCGUAAGGGUCAUGGAUAGUGCCGAAAUAGCGGUACCUGAGGAUGACUUAUUGUUCUGGUAGGGUUAGGGCUAGGGUUAGGGUUCGGGUCAGGGUGAUAGAUAGCAUUGAAAUUGAAAUGCCUGUGUGUUCCAGGGUGGGUUGCAAAGUUAGUAUUAGCGUAAGUUCGUGGGGAGGGGGAGGCAUAAUGUCAAAUGUCAAGCCCCUGGGUAUUGUGAUUUGGUCCUGGGCCUUAGGGUUAGGGUUAGGGUUAGAAGUAG